GCAAGUCGUGCGCGAAAGCCUUCGGGCGAGUAAAGCGGCGAAAGGGUGAGUAACACGUAACCAACGUACCCUUUAGACCGGGAUAACCUCUGGAAACGGUGGGUAAUACCGGAUGGACCUACGGUGAGACAUCUCAUCGAUGGUAAACGGUGGCUUCGGCUGCUGCUAAGGGAGCGGGUUGCGGCCUAUCAGCUUGUUGGUGGGGUAACGGCCUACCAAGGCAAUGACGGGUAGCGGGUCUGAGAGGAUGAUC
rnacentral:rRNA from 1 species